rnacentral:misc_RNA from 1 species
UCCUAGUUAACCUAGGCAGUCUCAUUAGAGUUCCCACCAUUACGUGUUGGCAACUAAUGACAAGGGUUGCGCUCGUUGCUGGACUUAACCAAACACCUCACGGCACGAGCUGACGACAGCCAUGCAGCACCUGUGCACAGGCCCCGAAGGGAGAUCUCAUCUCUGAGACUGUCCUGUGCAUGUCAAGCCUGGGUAAGGUUCUUCGCGUUGCAUCGAAUUAAACCACAUGCUCCACUGCUUGUGCGGGUCCCCGUCAAUUCUUUUGAGUUUCACCCUUGCGAGCGUACUCCCCAGGCGGUACACUUAUCGCGUUAGCUACGGCACAACCAGGGUUGAAUCCGGUUACACCUAGUGUACAUCGUUUAAGGCAAGGACUAC